UACGGGGGGGGCAAGCGUUGUUCGGAAUUACUGGGCGUAAAGGGCUCGUAGGUGGCCAACUAAGUCAGACGUGAAAUCCCCAGGCUCAACUUGGGAACUGCGUCUGAUACUGGAUGGCUUGAAUUCGGGAGAGGGAUGCAGAAUUCCAGGUGUAGCGGUGAAAUGCGUAGAUAUCAGGAGGAACACCGAUGGCGAAGGCGGCGACCUGGGUAGAUACUGACGCUGAGGCGCGAAAGCGUGGGGAGCAAACAGG
rnacentral:rRNA from 1 species